GAUCACGAGAAGUGAAAUCCAUAAGCCAUUCCAUACAGAAAUCUUCAAAAGAUAUCCUGUCAGGAAAGCUAAUUCACAUCCUUUCUUGGAGUCGAUGUAAAACAUCGUCUUGUUGUAGAUUUUGGGAUCAUCUCUAUGUUCCCAAUCUUUCAUAAGAAAUGAUUUUCGCUACAUCCUUUGUUAAGCAUACUCAAAUACCUUUCGAGAGGAUUGAAGAUCGUACUAUGUGUACGAGGUAGAGGAGGAAUAUACGUCUAUUGGCUCAUUAAGAAUAGGUUCUUUAGGUCCUACGGCUCAUUGCUUUUCAGAGACUCUCUUUGAGCUUAACUUUCCUCCCACCAUUUCAUCUUAGUUAAACAAUUUUU
rnacentral:lncRNA from 1 species